GAUGGGAACAGGUUCUGACUUCCUGUGACUGGAUGGAGACAGAUUCUCACUUCCUGUGACAGGAUGGGGACAGAUUCUCACUUCCUGUGACAGGAUGGGGACAGAUUCUCACUUCCUGUGACUGGAUGGAGACAGAUUAAAGCUUCCUGUGACAGGAUGGGGACAGGUUCUCACUUCCUGUGACAGGAUGUACAGGUUAAAGCUUCCUGUGACAGGAUGGGGACAGGUUAAAGCUUCCUGUGACAGGAUGGGAACAGGUUAAAGUUUCCUGUGACAGGAUGGGGACAGGUUAAAGCUUCCUGUGACAGGAUGGGGACAGGUUAAAGCUACCUGUGACAGGAUGGGGACAGGUUCUCACUUCCUGUGACAGGAUGGGGACAGGUUCUCACUUCCUGUGACAGGAUGUACAGGUUAAAGCUUCCUGUGACAGGAUGGGGACAGGUUAAAGCUUCCUGUGACAGGAUGGGGACAGGUUAAAGCUUCCUGUGACAGGAUGGGGACAGGUUCUCACUUCCUGUGACAGGAUGGGGACAGGUUAAAGCUUCCUGUGACAGGAUAGGGACAGGUUCUGACUUCCUGUGACAGGAUGGGGACAGAUUCUCAUUUCCUGUGACUGGAUGGAGAUAGGUUAAAGCUUCCUGUGACAGGAUGGGGACAGGUUAAAGCUUCCUGUGACAGGAUGGGGACAGGUUAAAGCUUCCUGUGACAGGAUGGGGACAGGUUAAAGCUUCCUGUGACAGGAUGGGGACAGGUUCUCACUUCCUGUGACAGGAUGGACAGGUUAAAGCUUCCUGUGACAGGAUGGGGACAGGUUAAAGCUUCCUGUGACAGGAUGGGAACAGGUUAAAUCUUCCUGUGACGAUAGGGGCAGGUUCUCACUUCCUGUGACAGGAUGGGGACAGGUUCUCACUUCCUGUGACAGGAUGGGGACAGGGGCUACCUGCAUUCAGGCCCAUCAUACUGUGGAGACAGCUGCCUUAGGAACCAGAGUGGAGGUGGAGCCCCUAGGCCUUGGCGACCUGCCCAGGAAGUCCUGCCACGUGGACUGUUUAAAUUCUCCAGUUGGAGCAUCUACCACCCUCGUCUUCCAUCACGUCCCCCACCAGCUUGGUGAGUUUUCAUCUUCGUUCUGGGUUACUUGGGCUUAUUUCACACUCACGUGGAGAGUGAGCGUGGUCUCCUUUACCGCCUACCUCAGCCUCUCUAGCAGGACUGAUGGCACCCUCUCACCUGACCAGCCAGAGUUUUAGAAAGGCCGGCCCUGGGGUGGGCCAUGGCGCUACAGGUAUGUGAGGAACGGGCACACUGAAGAGCGAGCCAUGCCUGGGAGGGAACCCGGAGCAGAGGGAGAAGUAGGAGAAGAGGUGGCCUGGGCCCGAGACAGCCCAGCCGCAGAGACAGCCAAGCCCAGGCCGAUGGGAGCGCUCCAGGUGACCUGACCUGGGCGGUGUGGCUUCACGCUGCCCAUCCCACCAGCUCACUUCCCUUCACAUCCUUCUCCUCACUCCACUGACGGGAGACAAGCUCCGCGAGUGCAUGACUCCAGGCCGCAGUCAGUGGCUGAGCCAAGUCAGCCUGUCCCACUUCAAAGACUUUACAUCCUCUCUCUCUCUUUCU